rnacentral:misc_RNA from 1 species
UCCGAGUUGACCCCGGCAGUCUCUUAUGAGUCCCCGGCACGACCCGCUGGCAACAUAAGACGAGGGUUGCGCUCGUUGCGGGACUUAACCCAACAUCUCACGACACGAGCUGACGACAACCAUGCACCACCUGUGCAGGACCCUUACGGACCCCCCAUCUCUGGAGGAUUUCCCUGCAUGUCAAGCCUUGGUAAGGUUCUUCGCGUUGCAUCGAAUUAAUCCGCAUGCUCCGCCGCUUGUGCGGGGCCCCGUCAAUUCCUUUGAGUUUUAGCCUUGCGGCCGUACUCCCCAGGCGGGGCGCUUAAUGCGUUUGCUGCGGCACGGAACUCGUGGAAUGAGUCCCACACCUAGCGCCCAACGUUUACGGCGUGGACUAC